AUAUUGCUCUCUUUUUCUCACACGGGAGCAGCUAUGAGGUGCAAGCGGCCAGGCCGCACAAGGAGCAGUGAGAAAUAAGAACGGUGGUGCUACAGAUCUCAACUGUUUGAUGGAAUGCCCCAUAGUGCUCGCGUCAUUGCACAGAUCUAUAUGAUGCUUGACCUGGAAGGGCAGCAUUAAAACAGUGAUGAUAGUACCUGUGGUGUAUGAAAUCAGCAGGCUAGACAAGAUCAUGGACUAUUCCAUUGUGAAUAAAAGGAAGAGCAUGUGCAAUGCAUAGUUAGACUGUCUUCCAAGAUAAGAGGUUGACAAGUAUGGGUAGUACACUGGUUGAUGGAAGUAUCUAAAGAUUCAGCCAUUCAAUCUUCUCUCCCCUGUAUGAGGGUCAGUUCUCUCAAUUUGACGUCUAUUUACAUCUGAUAAAGAUUCAUUUUUACCUAUCAUCUCUAUCUCUGUCCUGCUAAUGCAUGUUUUUCGUGGUCAAUGUACUCUACGGAGGAAUUGUGGCUUCGGUCAGAGGAUAAAGCCCAUGUUUUAAGGAAUUAUGAAUCUCACUUCAGCACUUUGAAUGCCUAUGGCAUGUGAACAAUAAAAUAUAUUGUUCCAAUAGUCACCUUCCAGGUGAUUUAUUUUCCUGAAUUGCAUGGGACUCAUGUCGUAGGUAAGGUUUGGACUUAUGUACCUUUAUGCUUUAUAAUUUUCUUCCUUUCCGUGUUGGUAGUUAAGAUUUCAAACUUACAGAACAUGUGCUGAAAAGAGCUGCACACAGCCCCAAUUAAGAAUCUGGGAUGUGCCAGCAAUGCUUAACAUGCCCUUUAUGUUUUAUAUAUGAUUGCACUAGACAUAAAUUUACGCCUGAAGCAAUCUUCACAUCUGCCACAUUAACAUGAAUCAUCUUCUAUACCAAGGAAAAAUAACGGCGUGCAGGUUAAAUUGACAAUCCAAACCGCUUUAGUCGAAGAUCUCUCGCGGAAAGGUUAUCAAUGGAAGAUCCCUUGUGCGCGUCACCCACGGAAGGGCCUACAUAUGGAAACACGGAAUAAUCUGUAUAGGUGUAUUUCAUCAAGGUUGACUGCGCAUUAUUGUGCUCAACAUACAUCAUCCUACCAGGUAAUCUACCGGUCUACGGCCUUGCUCCGUUCAUGGUCGUCGCUUCAGC